UCUGUUUCGAAUUGGCACAAAGGUGCAAAUUUUUUUUUAACGAGUUUCACGGAUCGACAUCUUGUCCAUGUUUCUCUUGAAUCUAUUCCUCCCCAAAGCGCCUUUCUUCUUCCUCUUCUUGUAGAUAUAGAUUCAAACAGGGGCAAGAUGUUCAAUCAAAACCAGCUGCUUGAAUUUGAUCUGCUGUAAAUAUCUUCCUGAACGUCUAAUAAUGUUAAAUCAGAUUCAAUUUCAUGUUCAUAAUCUUUUUCAUGACCUAUCAAAUCUCAAUUUCUUGUUAAUUUCGCAAGGUUAAUUUUGAAAUUUCUGAAGCAUUCAUACAUGUGGCAUUUUCUCAUUAGAAAGAUCCAAACUUUCAUGAAGAAAUAAAUAGUCAUCAAAUAGCUAAAUUAACAAUUGUUGCUAGAUCCAAACGGUUUUUCAUUAAUUUUUAACACCCCUUGGUACGAAGCAAGAGACUCCAACUAAGUGGAGUUGGUCAAAGGAAGAGACUCUAUAUGGAUCCAACUAUGCUAGUAGAUUCAAUGUCUUCCUAUAGUAACGUGCAUAUUAAUAUCUUUCCGUUCUCGUAUAUUGAUCUAGGUGAAUGUAAGUCAUGUGAUUCAUGAUUUGUCUUUUGGACCAAAGUAUCCAGGGAUCCAUAAUCCUCUUAAUGGAAAUGCAAGGAUACUAGAUGAUACAAGUGGAACGUUCAAGUAUUAUAUAAAGCUGUUUUCUUCUUGUAUGAUCUGUCACCUAUUACGGUGACAAUAAGAGAAGAACGACAUAGUUUUCUUCAUUUCCUAACUCGGCUAUGUGCCGUGCUUGGUGGCACAUUUGCUUUAACAGUUAUAUCUAAGAGGUCAAGGAAUAUGCAGGCCAAGGUUCGAGGUGCUCUCUAGCCCACAUUUUGCACCUCCUUUGAGCUGGAGCAUUGUUUUUUUUUUGUAAGAAUUCAUGUUCCUUUUCAAUCUCAUGUUCAAUGAACCUUUCAAUAAAUUAGUGUUAAUGUAUUCGGAUCACAGAAUGUGAAUUCACAUCUAUUGAUUAUGUGGAAGUUUAAUUAUAAUCAUGCCUCCUCCAUGCUGCUUAGAUUAAUGAGGUUUAAGAAUGAAGGAAGAUUUAUGUGAAUUCACGGAUCUGAAAAAGUACAUCAUAAGUUUCCGCCAGAGCCAUGAAAUGAUGCCACCAAUGACUGUUAAGAUUUUGAUGUAUCAACUCUGCAAAGGAAUUUCAUUCUGUCAUGGUCAUGGAGUGUUGCACAGGGAUCUUAAGCCUCACAAUCUUUUAAUCGACCGUAAGACUAUGAUGCUAAAAGUUGCGGAUCUUGGACUCAGUCGUGCUUUCACCAUUCCCCUCAAGAAAUACACGCACGAGGUCACAUAUCUUUUAGCUUGUAUUGGAAAGCACAGCAUUUGAAAAUACCUAGCUUUCCAGUUUUCACGGCAAAAUUUGUUUGAAUGUAAGAUAUCUGAUAUGACAUUUUCCUUAAGUGUUUAGUCACUGCAGAACUUAUCUGAUAACCUAUGCUUGUGGUCUAAUUCUACAUUUCAUCUCUUAAAAACUAGUUUUUCUUUGAGUUUUCUACGUAUCUGAUCUCCCUUCUUUGUGUUCCACUACCUUUUUUCCAUAUCAGAAGCAUUCAAGUGUUUCCCCUUUAUCUUUUCCUUGCAGGUCGAUCUGAGUUCCUCUGUUAUUCUUGGAAUUUCUUAGAUCGAAUUGGAGCAUUGCUCAUGUUAGAACAUUUUUUUUUUAUCAGAUGGCAAUUCUUUGCUCUGCCAGUAACACUAGCGUGGUUGUUGCACUCUGUCUACUGCUCCUCAUCAAUCUGUACACUUGAAUUAGAAGGAGCAAAUUAUUUAUGUUAUAUUCUAAGCAGCAUAUACUAAGUGUCAUAUAUGAAAGUUUUAGAUUCUAUGUUAUAUUUGUUAUCUUC